UACAGAGGGUGCGAGCGUUGUCCGGAAUCACUGGGCGUAAAGGGCGCGUAGGCGGCUUGAUAAGCGUGCGGUGAAAGCCCGGGGCUCAACCCCGGGUCGGCCGUGCGAACUGUCGAGCUGGAGCACUGUAGAGGCAGGUGGAAUUCCGGGUGUAGCGGUGGAAUGCGUAGAGAUCCGGAAGAACACCGGUGGCGAAAGCGUUCUGCUAGACCUGUACUGACACUGAGGGACGAAAGCUAAGGGGAGCGAAGUGGG
rnacentral:rRNA from 1 species